rnacentral:rRNA from 1 species
UACGUAGGGUGCAAGCGUUGUCCGGAAUUAUUGGGCGUAAAGAGCUCGUAGGCGGUCUGUCGCGUCUGCUGUGAAAACUCGGGGCUUAACCCCGGGCCUGCAGUGGGUACGGGCGGACUAGAGUGCGGUAGGGGAGACUGGAAUUCCUGGUGUAGCGGUGAAAUGCGCAGAUAUCAGGAGGAACACCGGUGGCGAAGGCGGGUCUCUGGGCCGUAACUGACGCUGAGGAGCGAAAGCGUGGGGAGCGAACAGG